rnacentral:rRNA from 1 species
GAUGAACGCUGGCGGCGUGCCUAAUACAUGCAAGUCGAGCGAACAGACGAGGAGCUUGCUCCUCUGACGUUAGCGGCGGACGGGUGAGUAACACGUGGAUAACCUACCUAUAAGACUGGGAUAACUUCGGGAAACCGGAGCUAAUACCGGAUAAUAUAUUGAACCGCAUGGUUCAAUAGUGAAAGACGGUUUUGCUGUCACUUAUAGAUGGAUCCGCGCCGCAUUAGCUAGUUGGUAAGGUAACGGCUUACCAAGGCGACGAUUCGUAGCCGACCUGAGAGGGUGAUCGGCCACACUGGGACUGAGACACGGUCCAGACUCCUACGGGAGGCAGCAGUAGGGAAUCUUCCGCAAUGGGCGAAAGCCUGACGGAGCAACGCCGCGUGAGUGAUGAAGGUCUUCGGAUCGUAAAACUCUGUUAUUAGGGAAGAACAAAUGUGUAAGUAACUAUGCACGUCUUGACGGUACCUAAUCAGAAAGCCACGGCUAACUACGUG